rnacentral:lncRNA from 1 species
UCCAGAUUGUUUUUUUGUUGUUGUUGUUGUUGUAGUAUCAUGAACAAACAUGAAUAAUGAGCAGUUGUAUAUACUGUAUAUAUAUAUAUAUAUAUAUAUAUAAUAUUAGUUAUGAACAAAAAAAACUUAGAAUUAUUUUUGGAUACAUUUAAAGUUAUAUAUAUAUAAUUUAUGCAAAUAAAUUGGCUUUUAUGCAUAAAUUAAUUUAUAUUUUGGCAAACCUUUUUAAUGGUCAUAAAAAUGGAGUUUUGAUUUUCUGUUGGUUUUGGGGUGAAAUAUGACCUGGGCGUGUUUUUGUGCUGUUUGUGUUUGGAUGUGUGUAAAUAUCACAGAAAGUGUCUGUCGGGACAGAGUCGUUUCAGCUCUGUACAGUACUGAGAAGCUGACGACAGACAGCAGGAAGUGAUGCGUUUCUCCAGGAGGAAGCGGUUUGAUGUGAAUGUUGUGCGUCCCGUGUGUUGUCCGUGUUUAAACCUGAGAAACAGAGCAGCUGAUGCGAGACAGCCGUGUGGUUGUCAUACUGUCACAAACUCGACACGCAGCACCUCUCCAGCUCAUCUGCUCACUAUUUAUUUCCUGGAUCACUGUUGCUUUGCUCUUCGGGACCUCGUGAUUCCGGACUUCAGACGUCAUCAACACAAGCUGUUUGUAAAUUGUCAAUCAAACAUCACAGAUUGUAUUUAGAUUAUUUAAAUGAGAAGAAUAUGUAAGCAUUAUACAACUGAAAAUAUACAUAUGUUUUAAAAGGAUGUUUGUUGUCUUGUUUUUCUAUUAAAAGUCAUUCGUUUCUAGGUUUUUUUUUUUAAGUUAAAAGAUCUUCAACACACAGGAUUCUGUCUAGUAGCCCAUUUUCAACAUUUUUAAAUAAUAGAUUAAAAAAAAUCUAAGAUUAUUAAAAUCAUCAGCGUUCACAAACCUGCUUGGGAAAACCAAUUUUUAUUUCUGAUAAAAAACAAACAAACAUGAAAUUCCUUUUCUGUUUUAUUACAAGUUUUAUAUGAGACAAUCAAAGUGACACACACACACACACAAUUCUUCUCACAAUUCUGUACUUUUUAUUUUAGAUUAUGAGACAAUCAAAGUAGACACACACACACACACAAUUCUUCUCACAAUUCUGACUUUAUUUUGAAAGAUUUUUUCAGCUAUUAAAACUAAAACUCAUUUUUUAUCCCACAGUUUGAGCUUUUUUCCCCCCCUCAGUUAUUACUUUUUCUUGCAAUUCAGAGAAAAAAAUUACAUGUAUAGUAUAUUGCAUAUUUUUUUUCCCUCAUAACUGACAGAUUCAUGUAUAAAUGAACCCAGAAUUGACCUCUGACAUUGUUUCUGAAAAUAUGAUUUUGUAUUAUCAAUUGAAAUCUAGUUUUAAAUGACAAAUUACAACAAUUUUCACAAUUUAUUCAAGUGUGCAAAGACAAAACCAGCAAGAAAAGCGCUGCUGAAGCCGUAAGAUGUACAGAGAUGUCAAGAAAAACAUAUAAAACUUGAUUAAAUAACUGGCAAAAUGUUUAAAGACAAUAAUAUAAAAGUGCAGUUCAUCUUUGAAACUCGACAGAUCUUUGGCACUGGACUCCAUUUCUCUUCACUGGACGGAGAAAACGUCUUCCUGUCAGCUGAUGGAACAUUACAGCCAAUCAGCUUUAAGAUCAGCCUGAUGUGAAGCUUCAAAACUUUGGGAAAUCAGUUUGAAGAUAUUUCUAAUGUUGUGUAAUUAACAGGAUGAGUAGUAGUUAAUAGUCUCUUACUGACUGUUCAGACAAGCUCUCCAUAAAACAAACUAAACAAGCCCUGCAAAUUAAUAAAAAAAAUUUAAAUCACAUAUAUACAGACACUUCAUAUGCAAUGGUAUUUUAAUAUUUAAAGUCCAUUUAAUAUAUUAUACUUUGAAGAAUGUAUUUGCCUUGGGGUUGUAAAAGGUGUUUUUAUGCCUGUUUUUGCAGAAGUUUUGUUGCAUUUACAGAGUUUGACCAGCAGGUGUCACUAGCGUGUGCUGUUUCAGGCACUUCAGUGAAGCACUCGACUGAAAGCUUGGGAAAGGCUCGGUUCUUGCUGACUGUGGUGUGAUGAUGUGAUGUAUCGACUGAUGAUGACACGAGUGUGUUCUGCAGAUUGACUCUGUGAGUUUCUGGUGGCAGCAGAGAGGGAUCCUUCACUUCAUUAUCCUGAAACAGACCAAACUCAUGAAUGAUGCUUUAACAUCCCCUCUUCAGAUCUCACAUCCGUCCAGUGUAUACUGACAUACCACAACAUUUACACUGCACCACAAUAAUACAGCUUUAAUCCCCUGAAACCAGUUACACAAAGAAAAGAAUGUGCUAAUCAACCAAAAAAAAAAAAAACUCAACUCACUAAUAAUUUCUAAACGCCCAAAAAAUAUUUGUUAAAAACCUGACUUCAAAAAAACACAAAAACUAAAAAUAUCUAACCACCCCACAAACAAUAGUACAACAACUAAUCAGGGGGAGGGUGAAAAAAAAUAAAAUAAAAUCAAAAUCAUAAAAAUUAAUAAAAAAAAUCCCCCCCCCAAAAAAAAAAAAAUAAAUAAAUAAAUAAAUCACCAAAGGAAAUAUUUAAAAUAUUUAAUAGAAAUAAAAAAAAUUACGAAUUAUCUAAUCACCCCCAAAUAAAUUUAUAAAAAUGAAAAAAACUAAUCACUGUGUGUGUGUGUGUGUGUGUGUGUGUGAGAGUGUGUUUCUAGUUUCGAGAGUGUGUGUGUGUGUGUGUGUGUAUCAGUGUGUGUGUGUGUGUGAGCGAGAGUGUGCGUGAGAGUGUGUAUCAGUCUGAGUGUGUGUGUGUGUGUGUGUGAGUGUGUAAGUCACCAUUAUUUAUAUAGUGUUUUUUACACUGCAGUACGAUGCAUUAAUGUAAUUGUUCAUUUGUGCAACUAAAGGUCAAGUUUUUUUUGUAUAAAAACAUUACAGACAGUAGAAUAUGAUAACAAUACCCAUACACAUUUUUAAAAUCUUAUACAAUUUUAAAGCCUUUAUUAUUUCUCAACUAAAGGUUCACUUUUCAUUCAUGAAGACUACAUGAAGAAUUGUCCCAAAAUGUGUCUCUUGGCAAAAUAUAAAGAGUUUUUAAGAUGAAAAUGAAAUCAGGGUUAUAACCAGCAGAUGGCAGCAGAGGAGCACUCAACUCUUUUGAUUUAGUAUAAAAUAAAUAUUAUAACAAAUAUUAGUACUUAAUCGCACUGAAGUAUAAAGUAAACGUGCAGGAAGUCACUCGUCAUUUAAAGAAAGAAAUAACUCAGCCCAGACAACAGCAUAUAACGAGGAAUUAUCUGAAUACCUAUAUAGUUAAAUACAAGUUAGUAUAACAAUUAAAUAAUGCUUUCAAUAUUCUGAAAUGUUUUGAUGUAAUUUAAUAAGCACAUGACUUGUUUUCCCCAGCACAGACUUGUGUUACUGGAUCACUGAAUGCACAGCUCUAUUCUGACACACGCGUCGUUCUCUCAUCACUCUCACAGGAAUGAUUUACCGGAGUCACUGGCGUCUGUCUUUCAUAAAACUGAACUCAUGGACGAAGGGUGCUCUUAGACAAACAAAACUUUCCUCAGAUUGUGCCUGGAUGAUGUGAGGGCACUCCAGCUGACUGGAAAUGACUGAGCUGGCUUCUCUAAAACCAGCAAGUAACUGUGCAUAUGAUCAACUGUCCCCACAAGUCUAGUAAUACCAGUCAGUUCUGACUUUGUGGGGAUAAUGAGAAAACAAGCUUAUAAAUCAUGCAGUAUGAAGUGUUUUGAGAAUCUAGCAAUGCCUGCAGGUUUAGCGGAAGGGGAUAGAAAAACCAUUAUGCCUAUGGAGUGAACCCAUGAUGAUAGGAACAGUGUGUGUGUGUGUGUGUGUGUGUGUGUGUGUGUGUGUGUGUGUGUGUGUGUGUGUGUGUGUGUGUGUGUGUGUGUGUGUGUGUGUGUGUGUGUGUGUGCGCGCAUAUCCUAAACUUCAAUAACUGUAAAACUGUGUGUUUGCCUUCCUAAUCAUUUCCACUGCAGGACUGCUUUAUUGAAUUAAAGGCAUAACUUACUCAUAAAUAACAAUUCAGUCAUCAUUUACUAGACCUCAUGUUGUUCCAAACCUGUAUAACGUUUUGACUUCUUUUGAACACAAGAGAAGAUAUUUUGAGAAAUGUCUUCACACAAUUAAAUUAAACACUGGUUUGGAACAACAUGAGAGUGAGUAAAAAAAAUAUAACAGAAUUGUAAUUUUGGGGUAAACUAUCCCUCUAAUCUAU